UGGUACUUUUGAUGGACAAUAUACGGGAUAUAACGAUAGGUAUUACUUCGUCGAUAAUUUUAACGAUUUUUUUCCGGUAUAAAUAACGGUGUCGCAGUCGAAUUCCACAAACAGUGGAAGAUUGCACAAUUUGCAUACAUAGCAAUAACAGACAUCAAGAACCAUGGAAGUCAUGAGAUUCUUACUUUGCGUAGCAGUCAUUUUUAUGAUUGGCUUUAUUUCUCCGAGCAAUGCGAACCCAAAACCUAAUCCUUCGCCAGAGGCGGAUCCGGAAGCAAUUAACGUAUUGGGUAUGUUAGGAUUACUAGGAAAAGCGUUGUCUCACUUGGGAUAAUCGACCUCAAUGAUACAUGUACGACGGGUGCAGGCACGGCUACCAGUAUUUAAAUCUGAUGAGUUUAUAUGCAUAUAUGUAUACGUAACUAAUACGAAACAUGUAAAAAUUGGCUAUAUAAAUUUUUUGGUGCUUAACUAGACAAUUAAAA